CACAAGUAGGAGAGAAAUUAGUUCAGAGUACUUUUUGAAGCCUUUCUCUCUGUACUGUUGUUGCAGUACCAUAUUGGAGGCGUGAAACGUUGUAAACGUUUUUUCAAGCAUAUCAUAAUCAGAGAUAUUAUCUCCACAGAGUUUCAAUUUAGAAGUAAUUCUUUCUCUCUGUACUGUUGUUGCAGUACCAUAUUGGAGGCAUGAAACGUUGAAAACGUUUUCUCAAGCAUAUCAUAAUCAGAGAUGUUAUCUCCGCAGAGCUUCAACUUAGAAGUAAUUCUGAACAUCGCAGAAUUACAUUCAGAAACAGACUUAAAGUCUUGGAGCCUCAGAUGAGCCCAAUCAUAUCGUGCCUGUGGCAGAGUGACCAACUUCAGGUUGUCAUAUCUCUCCUUUAAGCCAUUCCACAAGAUG
rnacentral:lncRNA from 1 species